ensembl:snoRNA LOC120096823 small nucleolar RNA SNORA17
CCAGCCCCUACAUGGAUUGCAGGUCUGGCUAGUGUAUCACAUGGGCCUCAGUAGGUGCCUGAGAGAAGCCAUGUCUUCACCCAGGGUUCUGACUGUGAGCAGCUGAAUGAUUAGUAGCCUAACAUC